rnacentral:rRNA from 1 species
GCUUAACACAUGCAAGUCGAGGGGCAGCAUGGUCUUAGCUUGCUAAGGCCGAUGGCGACCGGCGCACGGGUGAGUAACACGUAUCCAACCUGCCGUCUACUCUUGGACAGCCUUCUGAAAGGAAGAUUAAUACAAGAUGGCAUCAUGAGUCCGCAUGUUCACAUGAUUAAAGGUAUUCCGGUAGACGAUGGGGAUGCGUUCCAUUAGAUAGUAGGCGGGGUAACGGCCCACCUAGUCUUCGAUGGAUAGGGGUUCUGAGAGGAAGGUCCCCCACAUUGGAACUGAGACACGGUCCAAACUCCUACGGGAGGCAGCAGUGAGGAAUAUUGGUCAAUGGGCGAGAGCCUGAACCAGCCAAGUAGCGUGAAGGAUGACUGCCCUAUGGGUUGUAAACUUCUUUUAUAAAGGAAUAAAGUCGGGUAUGGAUACCCGUUUGCAUGUACUUUAUGAAUAAGGAUCGGCUAACUCCGUGCCAGCAGCCGCGGUAAUACGGAGGAUCCGAGCGUUAUCCGGAUUUAUUGGGUUUAAAGGGAGCGUAGAUGGAUGUUUAAGUCAGUUGUGAAAGUUUGCGGCUCAACCGUAAAAUUGCAGUUGAUACUGGAUAUCUUGAGUGCAGUUGAGGCAGGCAGAAUUCGUGGUGUAGCGGUGAAAUGCUUAGAUAUCACGAAGAACUCCGAUUGCGAAGGCAGCCUGCUAAGCUGCAACUGACAUUGAGGCUCGAAAGUGUGGGUAUCAAACAAGAUUAGAUACCCUGGUAGUCCACACGGUAAACGAUGAAUACUCGCUGUUUGCGAUAUACUGCAAGCGGCCAAGCGAAAGCGUUAAGUAUUCCACCUGGGGAGUACGCCGGCAACGGUGAAACUCAAAGGAAUUGACGGGGGCCCGCACAAGCGGAGGAACAUGUGGUUUAAUUCGAUGAUACGCGAGGAACCUUACCCGGGCUUAAAUUGCAGAUGAAUUACGGUGAAAGCCGUAAGCCGCAAGGCAUCUGUGAAGGUGCUGCAUGGUUGUCGUCAGCUCGUGCCGUGAGGUGUCGGCUUAAGUGCCAUAACGAGCGCAACCCUUGUUGUCAGUUACUAACAGGUUCCGCUGAGGACUCUGACAAGACUGCCAUCGUAAGAUGUGAGGAAGGUGGGGAUGACGUCAAAUCAGCACGGCCCUUACGUCCGGGGCUACACACGUGUUACAAUGGGGGGUACAGAGGGCCGCUACCACGCGAGUGGAUGCCAAUCCCCAAAACCUCUCUCAGUUCGGACUGGAGUCUGCAACCCGACUCCACGAAGCUGGAUUCGCUAGUAAUCGCGCAUCAGCCACGGCGCGGUGAAUACGUUCCCGGGCCUUGUACACACCGCCCGUCAAGCCAUGGGAGCCGGGGGUACCUGAAGUGCGUAACCGCGAGGAGCGCCCUAGGGUAAAACUGGUGACUGGGGCUAAGUC